GUUCGAGUUCAAAAUAUAUAAAAUACCAAAGACGGUCGAUAGUGUGAUAGACUAUGCUGAUGAUCCCCGAGCUCGUAACGCGUCUCCAAAAUCUAUAAGAAUAGAUAGACAAAGAUAACCAAAGUAAGCUUUUAUAGCUUAGUAAGUCUAUAGCGUAUUUAAAAAUACAUAUAAAAGAAUCACAUAAUUAUUUAAGUAAAUUUAUCGAAAUCACAAAUAUCAAAUAUAAUUACUAACAAAACAUUUCUAUAUUAAGUCAUUUCGUUUAAAUCUAAAAGAAUGUAUAUUUAACUAAUAUACAUAAACGGACAAAGGUAUAUACAUUAUAUGCAUAAAAUCAAAUUACUAACAUAAUCAUUAUCUGCAUAUACAGAUUUCUAGAGUACUUGUUGUUCGUACUUCAUCGGAUCCAUUUAUAUAUAUAAUUGUUCAAUUACAUACACCAAAAGCAUAAUUUUUAUACUUAUAAACUAUAAAGGCCGAAUGCACAUAUUCACUUAUACCCACCUAUGCCGAAUGCAUACAUAUAUGCACUUAUAUCUAUCUAUGCCGAAUGCAUACAAAUAUAUAUCCACCUAUGCCGAAUGCCUAAAUAUGCACACAUAAAUAUCCAACAAUUUUCAUGACAUCCGAGAUAUAUAUAUAUACUCACUAAUCACAAAGAUUCGAACAAUUAUAUACUCAUCAACAUCUUGAAACAAUGUUCAUACAUUCAUCCAUUUCAUAUAAAAUCAUAUCUAUAUUUAAACCAAAUGCUUAGAAUCACUUAAUUCAUCAUAUUCGAAUCACCGGCACUUAGCCUGCUAGGCUUAUAGCCUGAUUCAGAUCACCGGCACUUAGCCUGCUAGGUUUAUAACCUGAUUCAUAUCACCGGCACUUAGCCUGCUAGGCUUAUAGCCUGAUUCAAAUCACCGGCACUUAGCCUGCUAGGUUUAUAACCUGAUUCAAUUCACCAAUUCCAGACUUAAAAAUUCAAUGAUUCAACCGAAUACAUUUAUAUAUAUAUUUUUGAGUCUAUCAUAUACAUGUAUAAUUACGUACUCAUAAUCAAAGCAUGAAUUUAUAUUUGUAUACUCAUACAUAUUCGAAUCUAAUAUAUAUAUACAUCCAUAAUUUCAUUCCCAAAUCCAUAUAAAGUAUCAUACAUGUAUAUGCAAGCUUGUUCGAUCCACAUAUAUAUAUAUUUAUACACACAUAUAUAUAUUCGCACAUUAUAUAAACGCAACCAUAACAUUUGAACUUUUAAUUGGAUCCAAAAAUUUUUACUUUUAUUUACAUACCUAUUCGAACAUCACAUGUAUAUGUAUGAAAUUCACACAUCAACUAACAUAAAUUGUAUACUUGUAAUUAUAACUUAUUCAUUAUAAAAUAAAUAUACUUAUAUAUAUAUUGAUUUGAUAACAUGAAUUUUUGCUAACAGACUUACCUCGGAUAUCAGCGGACACGAUCGACUAUUCGAUUACUUUCGUUUUUCCCCGAUCCAAAUUCGUUUUCUUCGUUUCUUGAUCUAAACAUAAUCAAAUUUAACCUUUUUAUUCAUCAAAACAUUCAAUUAAGUUCAAAAAUACAUAAAUGGGAAAAUCACCAUUUUGCCCCUAACAUUUUGCACUUUUUGCAAUUUAGUCAUUUUUGCACAAAACACAAAAUACACAAAAUUUGCCCAUACCACACAAGAGCCGAAUAUUCAUGGUUCUCAUACAAGUCCACACAUUGCAUUUAUUUCAUAUUUUAGUCCCUCAAAAAUUUAUUUUCACAAUUUAACUCUAAUUACUCAAAUUCACUAAAAAUUCAAAGACAAAACAUGUUAAUCUAACACACAUAUUUCAUAUUUCAUCAACUAACAUCACAAAACUCAAACAUUCAUCAAUGGCACAUUUCAAAAUCAUCAACAAUUCACAAAAUUAAUACAUGGGUUUUGAAGUAUUCGAAGCAACGAUCUCAAAAACGUAAAAAUUAUCAAAAAUCGAACAAAGAACUAACCUUAAAUUUAAACACAACAAUGACCGAACCUAGCUAGCUUUCUUCCUUUUUUU
rnacentral:lncRNA from 1 species